GAUCUUGUAGCGUAUACGCUAACGCAUCUGUCUUUAGAGCAGAAAAUUGUAGGUUCGAGUUUUGUCAAGAUCU
rnacentral:tRNA from 1 species